GCAUAUAAGGCAUAAAUAUCUUAAAGGCACCAGAUUCUGUCUGAUCUCCAAAGCUAAGCAGGGGCAUCCCUGGUUAGUACUUGAAUGGCAGACCACAAAGGAAUGCCAGGUGGAUAGGCA
rnacentral:rRNA from 1 species